rnacentral:rRNA from 1 species
CUUAGUGGCGAACGGGUGAGUAACGCGUGAGCAAUCUGCCUCAGAGUGGGGGACAACAGUUGGAAACGACUGCUAAUACCGCAUAAGCCCACAGCACCGCAUGGUGCAAGGGGAAAAGAUUUAUUGCUUUGAGAUGAGCUCGCGUCCAAUUAGCCAGUUGGUGAGGUAACGGCCCACCAAGGCGACGAUUGGUAGCCGGACUGAGAGGUUGAACGGCCACAUUGGGACUGAGAUACGGCCCAGACUCCUACGGGAGGCAGCAGUGGGGAAUAUUGCACAAUGGGGGGAACCCUGAUGCAGCGACGCCGCGUGGAGGAAGAAGGUCUUCGGAUUGUAAACUCCUGUUGUUAGGGACGAUAAUGACGGUACCUAACAAGGAAGCACCGGCUAACUACGUGCCAGCAGCCGCGGUAAAACGUAGGGUGCAAGCGUUGUCCGGAAUUACUGGGUGUAAAGGGAGCGCAGGCGGGCAUGCAAGUUGGAAGUGAAAACUAUGGGCUCAACCCAUAGCCUGCUUUCAAAACUGCGUGUCUUGAGUAGUGCAGAGGUAGGCGGAAUUCCCGGUGUAGCGGUGGAAUGCGUAGAUAUCGGGAGGAACACCAGUGGCGAAAGGCGGCCUACUGGGCACCAACUGACGCUGAGGCUCGAAAGCAUGGGUAGCAAACAGGAUUAGAUACCCUGGUAGUCCAUGCCGUAAACGAUGAUUACUAGGUGUUGGAGGAUUGACCCCUUCAGUGCCGCAGUUAACACAAUAAGUAAUCCACCUGGGGAGUACGACCGCAAGGUUGAAACUCAAAGGAAUUGACGGGGGCCCGCACAAGCAGUGGAGUAUGUGGUUUAAUUCGAAGCAACGCGAAGAACCUUACCAGGUCUUGACAUCCGAUGCAUAGUGUAGAGAUACAUGAAGUCCUUCGGGACAUCGAGACAGGUGGUGCAUGGUUGUCGUCAGCUCGUGUCGUGAGAUGUUGGGUUAAGUCCCGCAACGAGCGCAACCCUUAUCGUCAGUUACUACGCAAGAGGACUCUGGCGAGACUGCCGUUGACAAAACGGAGGAAGGUGGGGAUGACGUCAAAUCAUCAUGCCCCUUAUGACCUGGGCUACACACGUACUACAAUGGCGUUAAACAAAGAGAAGCGAGACCGCGAGGUGGAGCAAAACUCAUAAACAACGUCCCAGUUCAGAUUGCAGGCUGCAACUCGCCUGCAUGAAGUCGGAAUUGCUAGUAAUCGCAGAUCAGCAUGCUGCGGUGAAUACGUUCCCGGGCCUUGCACUCACCGCCCGUCA